GAAUAGUUCCAUCAGGCAAAACAAGAAGAGCUUUGGAUCCUUCCUAGUCGAGCUCGCAGGAGAAGCUUUCUGACGAACGAGAAAACAGGAAGAGGUUCUAAGGCUUUCUGUACCUCACACCAACAAGGCAUUUGCUCUAAUCUUCGUUGAAACUUUGAUUAAGUCUAAACUCAAGAUGAUUAUGGAACUUUCUGUGUCUGGGAUGGUGCAUCCUAAAGUUCAGCGAUCCAAAAUCACUUCAAGAAUCAGCUCUGCAAUGACACGGAAAUCGUCUUCUGGUUCCCAGUCGACGACGACGACGACACCGAGAUCACAGGAGACGAAAACGCCAUCUUCGUCUGUCGUCUCUUGUGCUGUGCUCAUGAAGUGAAUCUUCCUCACAUCACAAGAAGGACAAAGAGAAGAGAAGAAACGAAGUAACCUUUCGAAAAUGAUCGGAAAAUGGAGGAGAAUAAGAGCUGGGAAAGAGAUAAUCAACUUUGAUAAUCAUCAGACUGAGGAAAUUGUAGAAGAAAAGUUGUAACUUUCUGGUCAUAUCAAUAAUAAGAAACGGGAGACUGAAAGUAAGUAACCCACUGAGAGUCAUCACUAAGAGAAAAGUAGAAAAUCAGGGAAUCACUGAGAGUCAUCCGAGAAAGACGAGAAGAGGAAAAAGCCCAUUUCGAAAAUCAUUAUAAGAAGGAAAGAGAGUAAAUACGACAUUCCUCUGAGAAACAUCACAAAAAGGGGAAAACCAAGAAAAGCCUUCUGUGAAUCAUUACAAAGUGAAUUAACUAUCAUUUUAGAAUGGCCACAAGAUAGAUAUAUAGUUAAAUGUAGAAUCUAGGCCAAAGGCCUAGCGCUGGGAACCAUGAAUCAUUCAGCACUGAAAAGGAAAUUGACAGAAGAAAGGUUUCAAAGUGUAACAGGAGGGAAUCUUUGCAGUGGCAUUAUAAAGCAAUUGUUAGGAGAGGGUGGAUAACAAAAUGGAAGAAAGAGAAUAUGAACGGAGGUACAGUAUAAGGAAUGAAAGCGGUUGGAGCUAGGGGCCGAUGGGAUGCUGCAAAGACCCUCAAGUAAUCCCCAUACGGGGAGAAUCACCACAAGGAUAUAGUUAUCGAGGAAAAAAUCAGGUGAAAACUGAAAAGGAUGAAGCGAAGAAACCAGGACAGGGAAACCUUUCAGAAUAAUCAUGGCAGUGUCAGAAAUAAUUCAAUUCCUCAAAAAACGAUCGGAAAUCAUAGAAGGAAGAUGACGAAGAUUCCGAUAAAAAAAACUACAUCAUUUUGAAAACCAGCCUAUUGUAAUUUCUCUCUUGUUGGUCUUGAGUUUUUCAUCAGUACAUUUCAAAAACCACCAGUCAUCAUGCAUACGUCGAUUAAUUUAUUGUAAAAACUUGACCCAUUCUUAUUUUGUACAAGCAUUGUUACUGUCUUAUCAUCUAUACAUCUUUUAUUAUUUAUUUUUGCAUCAUUCGUUGUUGAAUUACUUUAGUAAAUAAAAAAUAAUAAAGUUUA